rnacentral:lncRNA from 1 species
UACCACUGGAGAAUUGUCUGGAAUGACCAUUAUAUCUGGAAGUUCUAACACAGGGCCACCACUUCCACAGAAGGGACAGGUACUUCUGGAACUGGAUUCAAAAUUGAGGCAUCACUUCUGCCCCAGGGAAACAAGCAGCACCUCUGGGGUAUCUCUUGCCACAACAGUUGCCCCUGGAAGUUUCAGCACAGAGCCACAACUUCUUCUGGAGCAAGUGGAAUAACUGG